AUUUAUUGCCGCUGUCUUUUCAUCAUUAAAGCCUUUUCUCGGAAUUCCAUCCGACGGCUCUCCUUCUUUUCCCUCUUUUGUAUUUCUUGUUUUCUUCUUCCCUAUGCUUUCUUUCUUCUUCAUCCUUGUCUGAAAAUUUUCUUUUACUAUCUCUUUUUCUUUUACUAUCUCUUCUUCUUUUUGCCUUCUCUUCUUUCUUUCUUCCAUCUUAACAAAUUAAUGGCUCCGCUUCCUCCUCUUCCUUCAUCUCCUUUUCUUGAUUAUACUAUCCUUCGCAAAUUUGUUGAAAUAGAACCUUCUCGAU
rnacentral:lncRNA from 1 species